UACGAAGGGGGCUAGCGUUGCUCGGAAUGACUGGGCGUAAAGGGCGCGUAGGCGGUUUGUACAGUCAGGUGUGAAAUUCCCGGGCUCAACCUGGGGGCUGCACUUGAUACGUAUGGACUGGAGUGGGGAAGAGGGUCGUGGAAUUCCCAGUGUAGAGGUGAAAUUCGUAGAUACUGGGAAGAACACCGGUGGCGAAGGCGGCGACCUGGUCCUUGACUGACGCUGAGGCGCGAAAGCGUGGGGAGCAAACAGG
rnacentral:rRNA from 1 species